rnacentral:rRNA from 1 species
CCUACGGGUGGCAGCAGUGGGGAAUAUUGGACAAUGGGCGAAAGCCUGAUCCAGCCAUGCCGCGUGUGUGAAGAAGGCCUUCGGGUUGUAAAGCACUUUCAGUGGGGAAGAAAGCCUUGGGGCUAAUACCCUCGAGGAAGGACAUCACCCACAGAAGAAGCACCGGCUAACUCCGUGCCAGCAGCCGCGGUAAUACGGAGGGUGCGAGCGUUAAUCGGAAUUACUGGGCGUAAAGCGCGCGUAGGCGGUCUGAUAAGCCGGUUGUGAAAGCCCCGGGCUCAACCUGGGAACGGCAUCCGGAACUGUCAGGCUAGAGUGCAGGAGAGGAAGGUAGAAUUCCAGGUGUAGCGGUGAAAUGCGUAGAGAUCGGGAGGAAUACCAGUGGCGAAGGCGGCCUUCUGGACUGACACUGACGCUGAGGUGCGAAAGCGUGGGUAGCAAACAGGAUUAGAUACCCGUGUAGUC